rnacentral:rRNA from 1 species
UACGUAGGGUGCGAGCGUUAAUCGGAAUUACUGGGCGUGAAGCGUGCGCAGGCGGUUCGUUGUGUCCGUCGUGAAAGCCCCGGGCUUAACCUGGGAACUGCGAUGGAAACUAGCGAGCUGGAGUGUGGCAGAGGGGGGUGGAAUUCCGCGUGUAGCAGUGAAAUGCGUAGAGAUGCGGAGGAACACCGAUGGCGAAGGCAGCCCCCUGGGCUAACACUGACGCUCAGGCACGAAAGCGUGGGGAGCAAACAGG